CUUCAAUGUUCCUCUGUUUGUAUCAUUAUUCUCCAUCUGUAUAUCAGUGCAGGACACCUUUCCUUUGCCCACCACGUGCAUAAAAACCAACACCAGAGUCCUGAAGAGUGAUCUGAGUUUACAAAACAAACAGGAGUCUGAGUGUGCUGAGGGAUCUACACUCAAACAAUUGGGACCCUCAGGUGGUUGCACAAUUUGGAGGCUCAUUAUGUCCUCUCUCAGUCCAGGAGUUUCCACCCACACUUGUGUUUUGAAGGCAACAAGGGAGGGGAUGACAAGGAAAAGGGGAAGCAAAAAUAAUCCCCCUGAACAUCAUUUUUUGGAGAAUGAAAACCUGGCAUUCUGCAGCAGGCACCAUCCUCCAGCAAAACUGCAGCAGUGAGGUCGCCAAGAUAAGAGAACCCCCCAAGCAAGCGAGCAACUAAAUAAAU
rnacentral:lncRNA from 1 species